UACGGAGGAUUCAAGCGUUAUCCGGAUUUAUUGGGUUUAAAGGGUGCGUAGGCGGGUUAUCAAGUCAGCGGUAAAAUCGUGGAGCUCAACUCCAUCCAGCCGUUGAAACUGAUGAUCUUGAGUGGGCGAGAAGUAUGCGGAAUGCGUGGUGUAGCGGUGAAAUGCGUAGAUAUCAGGAGGAACACCGGUGGCGAAGGCGGCCUGCUGGACUGCAACUGACGUUGAGGCCCGAAAGCGUGGGGAUCGAACAGG
rnacentral:rRNA from 1 species